rnacentral:tRNA from 1 species
AGAUAAGUAGUGUAAAAGUUGGCACAAUUGAUUUUCAUUCAAUAAGAAUAUAAGGAUAUCUGUCUG